rnacentral:lncRNA from 1 species
GCAUAUGGAGGUUCCCAGGCUAGGGGGCGAAUCGGAGCUACAGCUGCCAGACUACACCACAGCCAGUGACUCGGCAUCCGAAGUGUGUCUGCAACCUACACCACAGCCCACAGCAACGCCAGAUCCUUAACCCACUGAGCAAGGCCAGGGAUUGAACCCUGAGUCCUCAUGGAUACUAAUGGAUACUAGUUGGGUUCGUUACUGCUGAGCCAUGAUAGGAACUCCUCUUUUCAUUCUUCUAAUUCAUCUUUCAGUGCCACUGUCCAAGUUGGAGAACACAAACCUGACACAUUUGGUACUUGCUUCCUAUUUAGUGUUUUAUCACAAGGUAUUCUAUGAUACACAGUUUCCAUGAUUAGGCUCCUGGGCACUCCAGGGCAGGAGCCCUGGGCCUGGAAUAAGGCUUGAAUAAAUGAAUACUUUCAAAGGACUGUACCGCAGACCAAUUUCCUAAGAGGGAUUCCCAAAUGCUUUGAGAUACAGCAUGGAAGAACCUUGAGGAUAUUAUGUUACGUGAAAUAAGCCAGUCAAAAAAAGACAAGUAUUAUGCCACCUAUUUGAGGUAUCCAAAAGAGUCAAAUUCGUAGAAAUGGAAAAGGAGAGUGGUGGGUUGCCAGGGGCUAUGGAGGUGGGGUGGGGGGAGCGGAGCUGUUGCUCAGUGAGUUUAAAGUUCCAGUUUUGCAAGAUGAAAAAGUUCUGAGGCUCGGCCUCACAAUAAUAUGCAUACACUUAACACCACUAAAAUGUAUGCUUAAAAACAUGUAAAAGGGUAUAUUGUAUAUGUUUUUACUACCAUAAAAACCCACCAAAACCAACCCAAAAGCUUUAAACAAAAGAAUGUUUUGAAGAGGUUCCCUUAUGGCUCAGUGGGUGAAGGGUCUGGCAUUGACACAGUUGUGGCAUGGGUUCAUCCCUGGCCUGGGAACUUCCUCAUGCUGCAGGUGUGGCAAAAAAAAAAGGUUUUGGAAAAGAGCAACAAUGUUGAAAAGUGCAUUGUUUCUCAUAUGAGCUAUUUGGACUUUGCUGUUGAAGGAAGUUACAUUAUUUUAUUAGAUAUUUUGCACCCCAUCUUAUUAAAUAGAAGAAAACAAAAAUAGGAGUUCCCGCUGUGGCACAGCGGAAAUAAAUCCAACUAGGAACCAUGAGGUUGAGGGUUUGAUCCCUGGCCUCGCUCAGUGGGUUAAGGAUCUGGAUCACUGACCCAGCUUUCCUACCAAGUGGCAGAAUGAGGAACUGGCCCACAUCAUUCAGUCCUCAUGGCUCUACUUCCAUGGCCACCAAAAAAUUCCCGAUUUCUAAUUUCGCAUACAGCUAAAUUACAUCAGGAAGAGGCUGCAAUUAGUAUUGCUGAGACUUGAAAUGGAAAAAAUAUUUUUAAAAAUGUAAAUGUACAUGGCUAGCUAUCUUGAGGUCUGAGCAUAUUCUGGUGAGAUAAAUCUAGAUUCGACGUUAAAAAGUGAGAGCAGAGGAGCUCUCUGGCAGCCUAGAGGUUACGAAUCUGGCAUUGUCAAUGCAGUGGCUCAGCUCACUGCUGAGGCACUGGGUUCGAUCUCUGGCCCAGGAAUUUCCAUGUGCCAUGUGUUUCCCCCCAGCCCCCAAAAAGGUGAAAUCAGAGCUUCCAAACAAAUGGGACAAGAGUGUUAGAGGUACAAUGAGCAGAUGGUCCCCUCAGGCCCCAGAGAUGGCUGGAGCCCCUUUAAUCUACCCACAGCAUUCAUUUACCCUGGCGUGCCAUACAAAUAUUAUACUUUCCUAUGUGUGUUAUGAUAUGAAAAAUGUGGGUGGCAGAGAGUUGACACGACUCUGUGGUAAUGCCACCCCAGGCGGCAUCCUGUGUCACUUAAUACAUCCAAUGGAUUGUACUCAUUAAGUAUAUCAUAAAUAAUGGCUAAAUUCCAUCUUGAUGCAAUUAUAAACUCUUCCUUAUGAAUAAUGAGAAAAAUAUUUUUAUAACUUAUCUAAAUUUUUUUUCUUUGCUUUUUAGUG